AAAUUUUGAUGUAAAUUUUUAAUAUUUAAUAUUUAAUUUGAAUUUAAAUUAAUAUAUUAUAAAGAUAAUGUUAGUAUAUUAAUUUGAUUAUGUUUUUAUAUCCAUCUGAACCAAACACCGACAAUGGGAAUGAUUUAUUCCGAUUCCGAUUCAGGUGAUGAACCAAACAGAAUUAGGUAAUGAGUCAUUCCAAUUCCGAUUCCAGCUUAUUUUGAUUCUGAUUCCGAUUACGACUCCGACUUCGAACCAAACACGCCCCUAAAGUAUGGAAUGAUUCUCCUCUCAACCCACUUCUUAUCUAUAAAAAAAUAAAAUUUACCUACAACCGGUUUAUAAAUGCACCAACCCUAAUUUUUAAUAAUGAAUAUUAUAAAUUAAAAUAUAAUUUUAUAAAUGUGAUUUAUACUUUAUAAAUCUAAAAUUAAAGUGUACAAAAUUUACUUAUACACUUGUGCAUCAAAUAAUAUCCUUCCAUUUAAUGUAGGUAAAAAACAUAU
rnacentral:lncRNA from 1 species